rnacentral:lncRNA from 1 species
CUCUUGCCUGCUGCCACGUAAGAGGUGACUUUGCUGCUCCUCCGCCUUCCACCAUGAUUGUGAGGCCUCCCCAGCCAUGUGGAACUAUCUUUGCAUGUUCUGUCCAGCAAGUUCUCUCUCCAUGAAGACCAUACCACCUAAAGUGACCCCAUCUCAGUCUGUCUGUUGGUAGACCUCCUGCAAUCAACUGAAGGCCUGAAUAAAACAAAAGACUGGCCUCCUCCCAAGCAAGAGUGAAAAUUUGACAUAUCCCCAGACUGGACUGAGUGAGCUGCUUUAGGAAGCUGUAUGUUUUUGGAAUUUAAUUCAAAUUUAAAUGAGGUUUCCUGCAUGUUUGGACAUUAUACCUCAGAGCCGUGGGUGCCAGAGCCCUGUCCUAUGAAUGUGUCUCUUCUGAAAAUUGCUCUAGGGAUUGGUUUUACUGAUUGGACAAAAAAUAUUUUGAACCAAUUAUAACAAAAUAGCUCAUUUCUCUUUUAUAUACAUCAUGCAAUGUCUUCACAAUCAGAUUAUGAGAUCUCUAAUUACAGAAGAGGAUUUUUAUAUUUCCUACUAGCAAACAUUUGUCCACAAAAGUUAUGAAAAACAGCUGUUAUCUGGAAUGUGGCUUGAAAUAUAUCCUGUUACUCUAAAAUGGUAUUGAUAUGAUUUAUAGUUGUCCUAUUGCAGCGAUUUUAUAAGAACUCAAUCCACAGCUCUUCUAACAUGUCUUGACAGCUUUAUUGAGAUACAAUUUACACAUUAAAAAACUGCAUGCAUUUAAUAUGUACAAUUUGAAUAUUUUUGGCAUAUCUAUGCCCAUAGGAAUUUAUCAUCUACAACCAAGAAAAUCAACAUCUCCAUCAGUCCCCUAAAUUUUCUUCUGUCCCUAUGUAAUCCCUCUUCCUACCUGCCAUCACUAGGUGGUAUGGGCUAAAUUGUGCACUGCCCAUCCCCUCCCCUCCCAUUUUAUAUGUUGAAGUCCUAAUCCCUAGCACCUCAAAACAUGACUGUGUUUGGAAACAGGCCUUCAAAGAGGUGAUUAAGCUACAACAAGGCUGUUAGGAUGAACCCUAAUCUGAUCUGACUGGUGUUCCUAUAAGAAAAGAAAAUUAAGACACACAAAGAGAUACCAGGGUAUAUUUACACAUAGAGGAGACCGCGUGAGGUACAAAGAGAGAAGGCAGCCAUCUGCAAGCUAACAAAAGAAAUCUCAGAAUGAAAUCAACCCACCAACACCUGAUUUCAGACUUCUAGCUUCUGAAACUGAGAGAAAAUAUCUGUUGUUUAAACCAUCAGUCUGUGGUACUUUCUUAGAGCAGCCCUAGCAAACUAUCAUACCAGGCAACCACUGACUAGCCUUCUGUCACUAUAGAUUAGAUUGUAUUUUCUGGAAUUUUAUAUAAAUGUACUCUUUUGGUCUGGCUUGUUUCAUUCAGUAUAAGUUAUUUGAGAUCCAUCCAUGUUGGGUUGUAUCAAUAAUUCAUUCCUUUUUAUUAUUAAUAUUUUGUUGAAUGGAUAUACCACAGUUUAUUCAUCCAUUUAUUUGUUACUGGACAUUUAGGUUGUUUUCUGGUUGAACUGUUACAAAUCAAGCUUCUAUGGACAUUUAUUUACAAGUCUUUUAUGAAUAUGUGCUUUCUUUGAUCUUGGGUAAAUAUCCAAGGUUGGAAUGGCUGGGUCAUAUGAUAGGAGUAUGCUAACCUCUUUAAGAAACUGCUAAACUAUUUUCCAAAAAUUGUACCAUUUUACAUUCCCACCAGCAGUCUUUGAGAGCUCCAGUUGCUCCGUAUCUUUGCCUAAAACUAGUAUGGUCCAUCUUUUUUAAUGUAAUUGUUCUAAUAGGUAUAUAACAGUAUGCUAUUGUGCUUUUUAAAUUUGCAUUGUAUUAUGACAGUGGUAUUGAUGAUCAUCUUUUCAUUGCUUAUUUACCGAAGUACAUCUUUUUUGGUAAAGUGUUUACAUUUUUGCAUUCUUUUUUGAGUUGUUUUUUUAUUACUGAGUUUUGCAGUUUUUAAGUAUAUUCUGAACCCAAGUUCUUAAUCAAAUAAAUGACUUGAAAAUAUACUCAGUCUUUUUAUUCUCUCACUAGAGUCUUUUACAGAAUAGACAUUUUUCAUUUUAAUUAAGUCUAUUUAUCAAUUUAUUAUUUUAUGGAUCAUUUGGUAUUGCAUUUGGAAAAAUCUUUGCCUAACCGAAGGUCAAAAUUCUUCUCUUACAUUUUCUUCUAGAAUUUUUAAAGUUUUAAGAUUUGAAUUUAGGUUUCUAAUCCAUUUUGAAUUGGCGUUUUUGUACUACAUUUUUUUUCCUUCACCUCUAUAUGUAGAAUCAAUUAAGGUAAUAAUAGUUUCUAUCUGAAAUGUCCUGCUAACACACUUACCUAUUUCAAUACUCAUUCUACCUUCCCGUCUCCCUGCAUUUUGUUUUUUUUUUUUACAUCCUUUCACCCAGGCUUUAGCUCCCAUCUCCUUCUAAGUCCUCACGCCCUUGCUGUGUCUAUGAUACUAAUGUGAUUCAGACCAUUUCUCUCCCAGUUUCUUUCCUUCAUAUAUAUGCAAUUUUAAGUCUUUCUUAUUUAAAAUAAUAAUAAUAAUAAUAAUAAUGCUUUUUGAAGCUGCAUAGCUUUCUAACUACAUAACAUUAACUUGCUUUGUUCUUUUCCUAUAAAACUAUUCUCUUGAAAGAAUUAUAUAUUCUCUCAUUUCUCUCUCUUCCAACCAACACUGCCAGGUUUCUGGCCCAGUCAUCGCACUGACACUAUUCUUACCAUCAACACUUGUGAUUUCCCUUUGCCACUUAUACAGAUCCCAUUUCAGCAUUCAUCACACAGGUCUCCCUGGGAGGCAUUUACACUGUGGAUCUCUGUAACUGGAAGGCAUUUCCAAAGCUUGUCUGAGUCUUCCACAUUGUCUCUCCUCUUUCUCUCUGUUACUUGAGACAUGUUUUCUCCAUAUUUUCUCUUCUCAUUCUAUACAUUCCACUGGUGACCACACAUAAAAUCAAGGAAUCAAAUGCCACCUUUGAAAAAUGAAUCUCCUAAGUAGAUUUCUGGUCCAGACUUAUUUACCCAGACCAUCAACUUUCUGUUGUAUAUUUCCAAUAGCAAUGUCAAGUGCAAUACGUGACAAACAUAAUGCCAUUCUUCUUUCACCUAAACACAGGGGUCUUUCAUACUUCCUGUGGGGGUAGACGGCACAUCAUUAACCCUGUCACCUAACCACUGUCCCCUCCAUUCCCAAUGAAAAAUAACCCAGAUAUUUCAGUUACAUCUCCUACAUAUGUCUCCAAUCUAUGCUUUCUCUUCAUAUCCACUGCUUCUCUCCUUAGUAUAUCUCAUCUAAAAUUCUGGAAUAGACUUCAGAUGGACCUGCAGAUUCUAAUUCUUACCCUCUCAACAUUCGACUUGUAUAUUGAUGCAUGAGUAAAGUUUCUGAAACACAAAUAUGUUUAGGGGAAUCCCAUGUAGAUCAUAUAUUUAGGCAACUCUAAUACAGAAAAAAUUGAACCCAUUCUCAUGUAACAUUCAGAUUGUUGUCUUUCUCUCACAUCUCAUCACUAACAACUGCUCUACACAAAAUCUGAGAUCUAGCAAUAGCUAGCUUCAUAUAGUUUCCUGAGCAUGGAAUAUUGAUACAACUUCCAGGCCUCAGAUGAGUGGACAAAAUUAAACUCACAAGGCAGUAAUGGCAUUCAAUCCCUGAAAAUUUCGCUGCUCUUUCUAAAAAGGUAAAAUAUAUUCUGCCUAUUAUAAAGUAAAUGCUGACCUUCCUAUUUUGUUUCUUUUCCUUUACGCUAAUGGAAAAUAACUUUAUGAUUUAAAAUAUAAUUUAUUGUACUUAUAAUAAUUUGUUUUGACUUGAUGGUUAAUGCUUGGGCAUAACUUAAAAUUAGAAUAAAAUGUAUAAAUGUAAAAGAA